GGAAGUAAAAGCCGUAACAAGGUUUCCGUAGGUGAACCUGCGGAAGGAUCAUUACUGAGUGAGGGCCUUCGGGUCCAACCUCCCACCCGUGUCUAUCGUACCAUGUUGCUUCGGCAGGCCCGCCUCACGGCCGCCGGGGGCUUCUCGCCCCGGGCCCGCGCCUGCCGAAGACCCUCUGAACGCUGUCUGAGGAUUGCAGUCUGAGUGAAACACAAAAAUUAUUUAAAACUUUCAACAACGGAUCUCUUGGUUCCG
rnacentral:misc_RNA from 1 species